GCGGUGUAAAAUGAGCUUGCGUCCUAUUAGCUAGUUGGUGAGGUAAUGGCUCACCAAGGCUACGAUGGGUAGGGGUUCUUAGUGGAAGGUCCCCCACACUGGCACUGAGAUACGGGCCAGACUCCUACGGGAGGCAGCAGUAGGGAAUAUUGGUCAAUGGGCGCAAGCCUGAACCAGCCAUGCCGCGUGCAGGAUGAAGGCUCUCUGAGUUGUAAACUGCUUUUGUACAGGAGCAAAAAAAUCCCUGCGGGGGUUCUUGAGAGUACUGUAAGAAUAAGCACCGGCUAAUUCCGUGCCAGCAGCCGCGGUAAUACGGGAGGUGCAAGCGUUAUCCGGUUUUAUUGGGUUUAAAGGGUGCGUAGGCGGCUUAUUAAGUCAGUUGUGAAAUCCUAGUGCUUAACGCUAGAACUGCGAUUGAUACUAUUAGGCUUGAGUUAAAAAAGAGGU
rnacentral:rRNA from 1 species